UCACUACUUGCGUAGGCAGUCUGGCUAGAGUCCCCACCAUAACGUGCUGGUAACUAACCACAGGGGUUGCGCUCGUUGCGCCACUUAAGGCAACACCUCACGGCACGAGCUGACGACAGCCAUGCAGCACCUGUGCUAGCCCCCGAAGGACACGGGCUUUCACCCGCUUUAACUAGCAUGUCAAGCCCAGGUAAGGUUCUUCGCGUUGCAUCGAAUUAAGCCACAUGCUCCGCCGCUUGUGCGGGUCCCCGUCAAUUCCUUUGAGUUUUAACCUUGCGGCCGUACUCCCCAGGCGGUUCACUUAACGCGUUAGCUACGCUACCGCGACAACCAUGGUCGCAGCGGCUAGUGAACAUCGUUUACGGUGUGGACUAC
rnacentral:misc_RNA from 1 species